AAACGGAGGAAGGUGGGGAUGAUGUCAAGUCAUCAUGGCCUUUAUGUUCAGGGCUACACACGUGCUACAAUGGAUGGUACAAAACGUCGCAAUCCCGCAAGGGGGAGCUAAUCGCGAAAACCAUUCUCAGUUCGGAUUGAAGUCUGCAACUCGACUUCAUGAAGUUGGAAUCGCUAGUAAUCGCAAAUCAGCAUGUUGCGGUGAAUACGUUCCCGGGUCUUGUACACACCGCCCGUCACAUCACGAAAGUAGGUUGUACUAGAAGUAGCUGGGCCAACUCGCAAGAGAGGCAGGUUACCACGGUAU
rnacentral:rRNA from 1 species